GACGAACGCUGGCGGCGUGCUUAACACAUGCAAGUCGAACGGAAAGGCCCUGCUUUUGUGCGCUGCUCGAGUGGCGACCGGGUGAGUUAUACGUGAGUAACCUGUCCCUGACCUUGGGAUAUCUUCAUGCCACUUGGGCUCAUACCGGAUAGGAUUUCUCGCUUCAUGGUGGGGCUUGGUAAGUUUCGGCGGUUGGGGAUGGAAUCGCCGCUUAUCAGCUUGUUGGUGGGGUAGUGGCUUACCAAGGCUUUGACGGGUAGCCGGCCUGAGCGGGUGACCGGCCACAUUGGGACUGAGAUACGGCCCAGACUACUACGGGAGGCAGCAGUGGGGAAUAGUGCACAAUGGGCGGAAGCCUGAUGCAGCAACGCCGCGUGCGGGAUGACGGCCUUCGGGUUGUAAACCGCUUUCGCCUGUGACGAAGCGUGAGUGACGGUAAUGGGUAAAGAAGCACCGGCUAACUACGUG
rnacentral:rRNA from 1 species